GUGGGGAAUAUUGGACAAUGGGCGAAAGCCUGAUCCAGCAACGCCGCGUGAGGGAUGACGGCCUUCGGGUUGUAAACCUCUUUCAGCACCGACGAAGCGAGAGUGACGGUAGGUGCAGAAGAAGGACCGGCCAACUACGUGCCAGCAGCCGCGGUAAUACGUAGGGUCCGAGCGUUGUCCGGAAUUAUUGGGCGUAAAGGGCUCGUAGGCGGUUUGUCGCGUCGGGAGUGAAAACUCACAGCUUAACUGUGAGCGUGCUUUCGAUACGGGCAGACUAGAGGGAUGCAGGGGAGAAUGGAAUUCCUGGUGUAGCGGUGGAAUGCGCAGAUAUCAGGAGGAACACCGGUGGCGAAGGCGGUUCUCUGGGCAUUUCCUGACGCUGAGGAGCGAAAGCAUGGGGAGCGAACAGGAUUAGAAACCCCAGUAGUCC
rnacentral:rRNA from 1 species